GCAAGUCGAGGGGCAGCAUGAACUUAGCUUGCUAAGUUUGAUGGCGACCGGCGCACGGGUGAGUAACACGUAUCCAACCUUCCGUUUACUCAGGGAUAGCCUUUCGAAAGAAAGAUUAAUACCUGAUAGUAUGGUGAGAUUGCAUGAUAGCACCAUUAAAGAUUUAUUGGUAAACGAUGGGGAUGCGUUCCAUUAGGUAGUAGGCGGGGUAACGGCCCACCUAGCCGACGAUGGAUAGGGGUUCUGAGAGGAAGGUCCCCCACAUUGGAACUGAGACACGGUCCAAACUCCUACGGGAGGCAGCAGUGAGGAAUAUUGGUCAAUGGACGCAAGUCUGAACCAGCCAUGCCGCGUGAAGGAUGACGGCCCUCUGGGUUGUAAACUUCUUUUAUCGUAGGGACGAAAAAGAUCAUUCUUGAUCACUUGACGGUACCAGAGGAAUAACGCACCGGCUAACUCCGUGCCAGCAGGUCGACGCGGCCG
rnacentral:rRNA from 1 species